GAUGAACGCUGGCGGCGUGCUUAACACAUGCAAGUCGAACGGUGAAGGCGGAGCUUGCUCUGCUGGAUCAGUGGCGAACGGGUGAGUAACACGUGAGCAAUCUGCCCCUGACUCUGGGAUAAGCGCUGGAAACGGCGUCUAAUACUGGAUACGAGCUGCGAAGGCAUCUUCAGCAGCUGGAAAGAACUUCGGUCAGGGAUGAGCUCGCGGCCUAUCAGCUUGUUGGUGAGGUAACGGCUCACCAAGGCGUCGACGGGUAGCCGGCCUGAGAGGGUGACCGGCCCCACUGGGACUGAGACACGGCCCAGACUCCUACGGGAGGCAGCAGUGGGGAAUAUUGCACAAUGGGCGAAAGCCUGAUGCAGCAACGCCGCGUGAGGGACGACGGCCUUCGGGUUGUAAACCUCUUUUAGCAGGGAAGAAGCGAAAGUGACGGUACCUGCAGAAAAAGCGCCGGCUAACUACGUG
rnacentral:rRNA from 1 species